rnacentral:rRNA from 1 species
ACGGUACCUGCAGAAGAAGCGCCGGCUAACUACGUGCCAGCAGCCGCGGUAAUACGUAGGGCGCAAGCGUUAUCCGGAAUUAUUGGGCGUAAAGAGCUCGUAGGCGGUUUGUCGCGUCUGCCGUGAAAGUCCGGGGCUUAACUCCGGAUCUGCGGUGGGUACGGGCAGGCUAGAGUGCAGUAGGGGAGACUGGAAUUCCUGGUGUAGCGGUGAAAUGCGCAGAUAUCAGGAGGAACACCGAUGGCGAAGGCAGGUCUCUGGGCUGUAACUGACGCUGAGGAGCGAAAGCAUGGGUAGCGAACAGGAUUAGAUACCCUGGUAGUCCAUGCCGUAAACGUUGGGCACUAGGUGUGGGGGACAUUCCACGUUUUCCGCGCCGUAGCUAACGCAUUAAGUGCCCCGCCUGGGGAGUACGGCCGCAAGGCUAAAACUCAAAGGAAUUGACGGGGGCCCGCACAAGCGGCGGAGCAUGCGGAUUAAUUCGAUGCAACGCGAAGAACCUUACCAAGGCUUGACAUGGACUAGAUCGCCGCAGAGAUGUGGUUUCCCUUCGGGGCUGGUUCACAGGUGGUGCAUGGUUGUCGUCAGCUCGUGUCGUGAGAUGUUGGGUUAAGUCCCGCAACGAGCGCAACCCUCGUUCUAUGUUGCCAGCACGUUAUGGUGGGGACUCAUAGGAGACUGCCGGGGUCAACUCGGAGGAAGGUGGGGACGACGUCAAAUCAUCAUGCCCCUUAUGUCUUGGGCUUCACGCAUGCUACAAUGGCCGGUACAAAGGGUUGCGAUACUGUGAGGUGGAGCUAAUCCCAAAAAGCCGGUCUCAGUUCGGAUUGGGGUCUGCAACUCGACCCCAUGAAGUUGGAGUCGCUAGUAAUCGCAGAUCAGCAACGCUGCGGUGAAUACGUUCCCGGGCCUUGUACACACCGCCCGUCAAGUCACGAAAGUUGGUAACACCCGAAGCCGGUGGCCUAACCCCUGUGGGAGGGAGC